GUGGUUACAGCUCAGUGGUAGAGCGCAUGCUUAGCAUGCAUGAGGUUCUGGGUUCAAUUCCUAGUACCUCCA
rnacentral:tRNA from 1 species